rnacentral:SRP_RNA from 1 species
GCUGGGAGUUGUGGCGUGCUCCUGUAAUCCAGCUACUUGGAGGCUUGGUGUGGAGAACGGUUUUAGGGCGGGGGUUCUGCUCUCAGGUGCGCUAUGUCGAUCGGGUGUCCGCGCUAAGCCCGGCAUCAAUAUGGUCUCACUCGGGGAGCCGAGAGUUACCAGGUUGUCUAAGGAGGGACGAAUCGGCCCAGGGCGGAAACGCAGCAGGCAAAAGUCCCGUGUCGCGCAGUAGUGGGAUCGCACCCGUGAAUAGGCAUCUGUUGGUAGCCUGUCCGAUAUAAUUGGACCCAUUCCAUU